rnacentral:rRNA from 1 species
GAUGAACGCUGGCGGCGUGCUUAACACAUGCAAGUCGAGCGAUGAAGUUUCCUUCGGGAAAUGGAUUAGCGGCGGACGGGUGAGUAACACGUGGGUAACCUGCCUCAUAGAGUGGAAUAGCCUUCCGAAAGGAAGAUUAAUACCGCAUAAUGUUGAAAGAUGGCAUCAUCAUUUAACCAAAGGAGCAAUCCGCUAUGAGAUGGACCCGCGGCGCAUUAGCUAGUUGGUGGGGUAACGGCCUACCAAGGCGACGAUGCGUAGCCGACCUGAGAGGGUGAUCGGCCACAUUGGGACUGAGACACGGCCCAGACUCCUACGGGAGGCAGCAGUGGGGAAUAUUGCACAAUGGGGGAAACCCUGAUGCAGCAACGCCGCGUGAGUGAUGAAGGUUUUCGGAUCGUAAAGCUCUGU